rnacentral:lncRNA from 1 species
GAGUUGGGAGGAAAGCGGCGGCGGUGGCGGCUUCAACAGCAGCUCUUGCCCUUAAGGAACAAUGAAACACAAAGAUGGUGCAGACCCAGGCCCUGCUUUGACUGGGAGAAAGAUGCAUUCAGUUGACUAAAACUUGAAGCUUGGUGGCAUGCAUGUUUAGUCCCAGCUACACAGCAGGGAGGCUGAGGCUGAAGGAAUACUUGAGCCCAGGAAUUCAAGACUAGCCUGCACAACAUAGUGAGACCCUGACUUUAAAAUAAAUUUAAAAAAAUUAAAAGCAA